GGGGGCGGGCUGCCGGCCGAGACUUCUGGAUGGCGGCGGCCGCGGCUCCGCCCCGGGUUCCCACCGCCUGAAGGGCGAGACAAGCCCGACCUGCUACAGGCACUCGUGGGGGUGGGGGAGGAGCGGGGGUCGGUCCGUCUGGUUUGUGGGUGGGAGGCGCUUGUUCUCCAAAAACCGGCGCGAGCUGCAAUCCUGAGGGAGCUGCGGUGGAGGAGGUGGAGAGAAGGCCGCACCCUUCUGGGCAGGGGGAGGGGAGUGCCGCAAUACCUUUAUGGGAGUUCUCUGCUGCCUCUCGUCUUGUAAGGACCGCCCUGGGCCUGGAAGAAGCCCUCCCUCCUUUCCUCCUCGCGUGAUCUCGUCAUCGCCUCCAUGUCGAGUCGCUUCUCGAUUAUGGGCGGGAUUCUUUUGCCUAGGCUUAAGGGGCUAACUUGGUGCCUGGGCGUUGCCCUGCAGGGGAGUGAGCAGCUGUAAGAUUUGAGGGGCGACUCCGAUUAGUUAUCUUCCCACGGACUCGAGUUGGUGUCGAGGUUAUUGUAAUAAGGGUGGGGUAGGGAAAUGGAGCUUAGUCAUUCACCUGGGGCUGAUUUUAUGCAACGAGACUGCGGAUUAUCACUGCUUAUCAUUUUUGGAGCAUUUUUCUAGAGACAGACAUAAAGCAUGAUCACCUGAGUUUUAUACCAUUUGAGACCCUUGCUGCACCACCAAAGUGUAGCAUCAGGUUAAAUCUUAAUAGAAAAAUUUUAGCCUUUGCUUGAGAAACCAGUGCUUCCCUCCCUCACCCUCUCUCCCCAGGCUCUGUACCCCUUUGCAUCCCUACCAGGCAUCUUAGCAACUCUCACUCAUACUUGAUCCCAUUUUCCAUUUGUUGUACUUGCUCCUCUAGUAUUCAGACAUAGCACUAGCUUUCUCUCUCUCUUGAUCUUGGGUAGCCUGGUGUCUCGCGAAACCAGACAGAUUGGUUCCACCACAAAUUAAGGCUUGAGCUGGGGCUUGACUCUUACCCAGCAGUGCUUUUAUUCCUCCCUAGUUCACGUUCUUAAAUGUUUACCUUGAUUUUCAUUUUAUCCUUUUUCCUUAUCUGGGAUUCUAUCCCUGACCGUCUUCACAGUUCAGGUGAUCUUGACUACUGCUUUACAGAGAAUUGGAUCUGAGGUUAGGCAACAUCUCCCUUUUUCUUCCUCUAAAUACCUCUCAUUUCUGUUCUUACCAGUUAGUAACUGAUCUCAGAUGCCUGUGUGAUAGCUUCCAAAUUGCUGUCUCUGUCCUUAGGGUUAUCUUUUGAUCCAUCUUACAUCUUGUUAGGAUGGUUGUCCUAAAGGAAGAUAGAGCAUGAAAAUGACAGAUGAAACUCCAUUACUGGCUUGUACUGUUUACAGCAAGUUGUCUAACCCGCGGGCCGCAUGGGACCCAGGACAGCUUUGAAUGCGACCCAACACAAAUUCGUAAACUUUCUUAAAAUUUUAGGAGUUUUUUUUGCGGGGUGUUUUUUUUUUUGUUGUUGUCUGUUUUUUUUUUUUUUGCUCAUCAGCUGUCCUUUAUAUGUGACCCAAGACAGUUCUUGCAGUGUGGCCCAGGGAAGCCAAAAGAUUGGACACCCCUGGUUUACAGGAUGAAUUCUGUCCUCGUGAAUGUGAUGCAUAAGGUCCCUGGAUAGACUUUCCUCAAUUUAACAGCUUUUUCAUUUUUCACUAUUUUCCACAUACUACACAAACAAACAUGACCUCUCUCCUGAAGUCACAUGGAAUGAAUUGCAGUUACCCAAAUCAUAGAGACAUCAUAUAUCUUUGUGGGGUGGUUCUUUUUGGAAUGCUACCCUUGCUGCUUUUAAUCCUGCAGAUUCAAAUGUCAUCUCCCCUUUGGUCAUGCCUUCCAUGGUCUGUUGUUCUAUGAGCCAAACUCCCCUUUUAAAAAAGCAGUUUUCUUCUGACUCUUGAGCAGUUUGUACUGCGUGGGUCAUAGUACUUCUGGGGUUGUUGUCAUUGCUGAUUUAAAUUACCUUAACUAUUCUGAGCUUUUUGAAGGAACAGUGUCUUGUACUCCUGAGCUCCUAGUAUACUCUGAUGUCUAGCCAACUUUAAGUAAAUGGAGUGAGCGACAUGUAAAUGUCUUUAUGGUUUGACAUUUUAUUAAUCUUGAGCAUUGGAAAAGUGGCUGGUAUGACUAAAGAACUGAAUUUUUAUUUUUUAUCUAAUUUGAAUUGCAACUGUGGACAGUGUAGCUGUAGCCCCGGACUUGUUCUGUGGAUUACAGAAUACGUGGACAUUGAUGGUUUUCUCUUUUUACUGAGCAGUAAGGAAAUAAAAGCUGAAGCUCUCUGGCCCAUUACACUUCAUUUAACUGCUUGUUUUGUUUUAUUUAUUAUAUAUUUAGCUGAAAGCUAAGUCCAACAAACCAUUUUUAAAGAUGUGCCUGCCUUGGACAACAGUGAAAGCAAGUGUUAAUGAGUUUGGAUUUCAAAAAAAAUGCAUAAUGAAUUUUAGGGAGAUGUGGAAACAGGAAGAGAACUAGAACUGGAAGUAAGGCAUUGAAGAUGUGACUGAAUUGCUGCAAUCUCAUGAUCAAAUUUGAAUGGAUGAGGAGUUGCUUUUUAG
rnacentral:antisense_RNA from 1 species